GACAAAAUCAGUAUCCCGUGAACGCGCCCAAGCUCGUCAGAUCUCCGACACGAAAGCAGGAUUGAGCUUGGAUAGUGCUUGGAUGGGUGACCGCCAUAAAAAAACAGGCGUUAUAGGCU
rnacentral:rRNA from 1 species